AAUCCGUCGACUUUACAAAUCGUGAGGGUUCAAGUCCCUCUAUCCCCA
rnacentral:tRNA from 1 species